rnacentral:rRNA from 1 species
AUGAAGGCCAACGGAUUGGAGUUCCUGCUAGAUUUGAUCAACUUGUGCGCAUCCAGAUGCGGUGCCCCCUGCUGUGGCAACGAUGACUCCAUGAGGGCGGUUUCAGCAGACGGUGCUCUCCGAAGGUUGCGCUGGACUAGGUCGGAUGAUGGUGCAGUAGCCAUUGUACUUAAGAACUUAAAGGCUGAUCUCGGCAACAUACGCAACGAGGUUAUCAGAAUGAUUGCUGGCAUGUCUGAAGAUCAAACAUGCAUUGCCACCUGGGAUGUGCCUGAAACAGUUGAAGGGAAAAUGGAGGAUCGAUGCCUGAAAACAGGAGUUCAUGUGCAGAACAAAGAAGCAGAGAUGAAGAGGUGUCAAGAUAAAGGAACUCACAUGGGAAAUUCUGAAUCUUCAAGGCUCGUUUCAUUACUAGUUUGGAAGGCCAGGAAGUUCUACUUCUGGCAUAAGCCAACGGAGCAUCGGUCGAAGAAGGCCGAUGCGCCUCGUGCCAGCUCCGGGCAUUGCCGGAGGCCCUACCUGUUCUUCCACCGCCCCUGUGUACUCACCAUCGAGCCUAUCCAUGCACAGCUCUAG